rnacentral:rRNA from 1 species
AACGGUUGCUAAUACUCUAUAUGCCGAGAGGUAAAAGGAUUUAUCCACCUUAGGAAGAGCUCGCGUCUGAUUAGCUUGUUGGUGAGGUAAUAGCUCACCAAGGCGACGAUCAGUAGCUGGUUUGAGAGGACGACCAGCCACACUGGGACUGAGACACGGCCCAGACUCCUACGGGAGGCAGCAGUGGGGAAUUUUCCGCAAUGGGCGAAAGCCUGACGGAGCAAUACCGCGUGAGGGAUGAAAGCCUGCGGGUUGUAAACCUCUUUUCUCAAGGAAGAAGUUCUGACGGUACUUGAGGAAUAAGCAUCGGCUAACUCUGUGCCAGCAGCCGCGGUAAUACAGAGGAUGCAAGCGUUAUCCGGAAUCACUGGGCAUAAAGCGUCUGUAGGUUGCUUGUCAAGUCUGCUGUUAAAGAUCAGGGCCUAACCCUGGAAAAGCAGUGGAAACUAACAGGCUUGAGUGUGGUAGAGGUAGAGGGAAUUCCUGGUGUAGCGGUGAAAUGCGUAGAUAUUAGGAAGAACACCAAUGGCGAAAGCACUCUACUGGGCCAUAACUGACACUGAGAGACGACAGCUAGGGGAGCAAAUGGGAUUAGAUACCCCUGUAGUC